GAUGAACGCUGGCGGCGUGCCUAAUACAUGUAAGUCGAGCGAACAGACGAGGAGCUUGCUCCUCUGACGUUAGCGGCGGACGGGUGAGUAACACGUGGAUAACCUACCUAUAAGACUGGGAUAACUUCGGGAAACCGGAGCUAAUACCGGAUAAUAUAUUGAACCGCAUGGUUCAAUAGUGAAAGACGGUUUUGCUGUCACUUAUAGAUGGAUCCGCGCCGCAUUAGCUAGUUGGUAAGGUAACGGCUUACCAAGGCAACGAUGCGUAGCCGACCUGAGAGGGGGAUCGGCCACACUGGAACUGAGACACGGUCCAGACUCCUACGGGAGGCAGCAGUAGGGAAUCUUCCGCAAUGGGCGAAAGCCUGACGGAGCAACGCCGCGUGAGUGAUGAAGGUCUUCGGAUCGUAAAACUCUGUUAUUAGGGAAGAACAAAUGUGUAAGUAACUAUGCACGUCUUGACGGUACCUAAUCAGAAAGCCACGGCUAACUACGUG
rnacentral:rRNA from 1 species